AACGAACGCUGGCGGCGUGCUUAACACAUGCGAGUCGAGCGAUGAGAUCCCUUCGGGGAUGGAUUAGCGGCGGACGGGUGAGUAACACGUGGGCAACCUGCCUCAAAGUGGGGGAUAGCCUUCCGAAAGGAAGAUUAAUACCGCAUAACACUAGUUUUUCACAUGAAUUACUAAUUAAAGGAGUAAUCCGCUUUGAGAUGGGCCCGCGGCGCAUUAGCUAGUUGGUGAGGUAACGGCUCACCAAGGCCACGAUGCGUAGCCGACCUGAGAGGGUGAUCGGCCACAUUGGAACUGAGACACGGUACAGACUCCUACGGGAGGCAGCAGUGGGGAAUAUUGCACAAUGGGCGAAAGCCUGAUGCAGCAACGCCGCGUGAGUGAUGAAGGCCUUCGGGUUGUAAAGCUCUGUCUUUGGGGACGAUAAUGACGGUACCCAAGGAGGAAGCCACGGCUAACUACGUGCCAGCAGCCGCCGUAACAC
rnacentral:rRNA from 1 species